rnacentral:rRNA from 1 species
UACGAGAGGUCCAAACGUUAUUCGGAAUUACUGGGCUUACAGAGUUCGUAGGCGGCUCUACAAGUGAGGUGUGAAAGCCCUCGGCUCAACCGAGGAACUGCGCUUCAAACUGUAGAACUAGAGGGAGAUAGAGGUGAGCAGAACUGAUGGUGGAGCGGUGAAAUGCGUUGAUAUCAUCAGGAAUGACCGGAGGCGAAGGCGGGCUCACUGG